GUGGGGAAUAUUGCACAAUGGGCGCAAGCCUGAUGCAGCCAUGCCGCGUGUGUGAAGAAGGCCUUCGGGUUGUAAAGCACUUUCAGCGGGGAGGAAGGCGAUAAGGUUAAUAACCUUGUCGAUUGACGUUACCCGCAGAAGAAGCACCGGCUAACUCCGUGCCAGCAGCCGCGGUAAUACGGAGGGUGCAAGCGUUAAUCGGAAUUACUGGGCGUAAAGCGCACGCAGGCGGUCUGUCAAGUCGGAUGUGAAAUCCCCGGGCUCAACCUGGGAACUGCAUUCGAAACUGGCAGGCUAGAGUCUUGUAGAGGGGGGUAGAAUUCCAGGUGUAGCGGUGAAAUGCGUAGAGAUCUGGAGGAAUACCGGUGGCGAAGGCGGCCCCCUGGAC
rnacentral:rRNA from 1 species